UACAGAGGGUGCAAGCGUUGAUCGGAAUUACUGGGCGUAAAGCGUGCGCAGACGGUUGCGUAAGUCAGAUGUGAAAGCCCCGGGCUCAACCUGGGAAUUGCAUUUGAGACUGCGUAGCUAGGGUGCGGAAGAGGGAAGCGGAAUUUCCGGUGUAGCGGUGAAAUGCGUAGAGAUGCGGAGGAACACCGAUGGCGAAGGCAGCCCCCUGGGCUAACACUGACGCUCAGGCACGAAAGCGUGGGGAGCAAACAGG
rnacentral:rRNA from 1 species